UAGUCCACGCCGUAAACGAUGAUUACUCGAUAUUGGCCUCCGGGCCAGUGUCCAAGCGAAAGUGAUAAGUAAUCCACCUGGGGAGUACGGUCGCAAGACUGAAACUCAAAGGAAUUGACGGGGCCCGCACAAGCGGUGGAGCAUGUGGUUUAAUUCGAUGAUACGCGAGGAACCUUACCAGGGCUUAAAUGUAAGUUGCAUGAUUUAGAGAUAGAUCUUUCUUCGGACUACUUACAAGGUGCUGCAUGGUUGUCGUCAGCUCGUGCCGUGAGGUGUCAGGUUAAGUCCUAUAACGAGCGCAACCCCUACCGUUAGUUGCCAGCAUGUUAUGAUGGGGACUCUAGCGGGACUGCCGGUGCAAACCGAGAGGAAGGUGGGGAUGACGUCAAAUCAUCACGGCCCUUACGUCCUGGGGCUACACACGUGCUACAAUGGGUCGGUACAGAGGGGCA
rnacentral:rRNA from 1 species